UUUAGACGAUCGUCAUCACAACAAAAUGGAGAUCUAAAGUUAUUGAAGGAUUAAGUUUUAGCAAAACCGUCUGACCGUGGUGUGGCCUCAAAGUUUGAUUAAACGCCAUCAAAACACGGGCUCCUGUAUCUUGGACAUAUUUUGUCCAAUCGAGUCCAAAAUAUACACAUAACACAAGAGUCGCGACCUGAAGACAUCGGUACAGAAAUCGUGACUUAAAAUCACAGCGUCCCCUGGUGGCAACAGCAAAUGUCUUGUUUUUCUAUGUGUUACAGUUUGAUUCACUACUCGUAGGGCCUUCAUUAAAUCAACGUAAAAAUUUGAUGCAUGUGUUCAAAACAAGAUGAAGAUCUAAAGUUAACGAAAUUGCAACUUUUCAUAAUACUGUGUGACCGUGGUGUGGCUUCCAGUUUGAGGAAUGAAAACAUCUAUAUCUGGCAGAUGUGCUGCAAUAUUUAGUCACUAGAUGGCAGUGUCAGACCAUGGAUUGUGUUAUCUAUGCAUUAACAGACUGUGUUUACAGGGUGGCCAACUUUAGAGGAGAAUUAAACCUUUUACAGCAUUGCUCAAACUUUGGUUUUAGUCUCAAUCGCUAAGUUCUUCCUUCAUGACAACUCUGAGGGGGGUGUAUUUUAUUUUAACUCCCUCGUUUAAGCGAUAUAGAUGUUUGAAAUUCACGUGACGUCACAGUGUAAGCUGUGCUGUGUGUUGUGAGUUCGGCUUCAACCAGCUACAAGUGAACGCCUCAUGAAAUGGCUUACACCCACAUACCCGGUAAAUUACACACUUUGAUGUUCUGCUCCUUCUCCUGACGGUCACGGUAACGAUGUCUGCGCCUCCAUUUCUGUGGAUGUCCAGCGUGAGACACAACUUGAAUCCAACCAGACUGAACACUGACUCCAGGGACGGACGAGCCUGAAGGACACAGCUGUGAUGACCAAUUGACCAUGUUUUGUCUCUUAUGGCAAAGCAGAAAUAUUAAACACUGGGUUCUUAUCUAAAGUGUAUCAAAUCAGAAAGCAAAAGAUACACAUUGUUGUUAUAAGUUUUUAUUAUUUUAACCAACCAUAAUGAAGAUAGAAAUUAAUUCUUAUCCAUGCCACUUAGCAAUGACUGCCACCACCAAACAGUUGCAGGCCAUCUUUAUUUAAGGGAGGAAUUUAGAAGUGUUGUGUAGCUUCUGAUGAUGAUGCAGUCGUCCACGUGUUGACCACCAUGUUGCUGCUGACGACGUCAGGUGCUGCAGUUCCUCAUCUAUGAAGAGAAGAAACGCACUGUUAACGAAUGUUUUGAGUUGUGUAUGAAGCACAACAGAUUUCAGAUAGAACCGUUGUACUGUGGUCUGGGUUUGUAUCCUAAUGGUUAAAUGCACAUAUUUUUAUCUAAGUCGCUUUUGAUAAAAGUACUGAAAGAAAUACAACAUUGUAAAAAUAGAUAAAAUGUCUUUCUACCUCAUCUGUAAUAUUCAAGAUGAUAAUCUCCCACAGAGCUAUUGAUAACAGUCCACAUCAAGUCUCUCCACUUCCCUCAGUGUGAAAACAUAAUUAUAUAAUUAAUUUGAGAACUGUUUACAACACUGAUGUGUGGAGAUUAAAAUCAUAUCUAAACUGUCUAAUUCACUGUAAAACUCCAUGACAUUCGCAGGCCAUCUGUAGUUAAGGGAGCAACGUAUGGAGUGAUGUGUAGAGGGCAGAAACUUGGACUAUGGGCAGAGAAGGUCUCUGGUUCGUCUCCGGUUUGACUCCACGGAGAGACAACAAAAGACAAACCUGGAUUGAUCUAUCCAAAA